rnacentral:misc_RNA from 1 species
GAUGAAGAACGCAGCGAAAUGCGAUAAGGAAUGUGAAUUGCAGAAUUCAGUGAAUCAUCGAAUCUUUGAACGCACCUUGCGCCCUUUGGCUAUUCCAGAGGGCAUGCCUGUUUGAGUAUCAUGAACACCUCAACUCUCAUGGUUCUGCCAUGAUGAGCUUGGACUUUGGAGGUCUUGCUGGCCCCUGUGGUCAGCUCCUCUCAAAUGGAUCAGCUUGCCAGUGUUUGGUGGCAUCACAGGUGUGAUAACUAUCUACGCUUGUGGUUUUCCACCAGGUAACCUUCAGUGAUGGAGGUUCGCUGGAGCUCAUAAACGUCUCUCCUCAGCGAGGACAGCUUCUUGAACGUUUGAUCUCAAAUCAGGUAGGGCUACCCGCUGAACUUAAGCAUAUCAAUAAGCGGAGGA